GAAGUGAGUGAGAUGGUCGCUGGUGGCGUUCGCGCCACGAGAGGAAAGUCCGGGCUCCGCGGGACAGAGCGGUCGGUAACGCCGACCAGCCGAGAGGCUAGGGAAAGUGCAACAGAAAGCAAACCGCCUACCGCCGCCGGUUCGCUGGCGGCGCGGUAAGGGUGAAACGGUGCGGUAAGAGCGCACCAGCGGCCGAGGCGACUCGGCCGGCUAGGUAAACCCCGCUCGGAGCAAGGCCAAACAGGAAGCAGCCGGCGCGAGAGCGCCGGCCCGGACGAGUCCGGUCCGGCAUCGACUUCCGGGUAGGCCGCUCGAGGCGUCGAGCAAUCGGCGUCCUAGAUGAAUGACCAUCGCCCACGCCCAGCGUGGGAACAGAACCCGGCUUAAAAGCUCACUUCGAGG
rnacentral:RNase_P_RNA from 1 species